AAUUUUUUCGACACAACACUCUUCAAAGUCGACUCUGCUCCUCUGCUCUUCCAAGACAUUGUGCUCUUCUUUUCUUUAAUCAAUCAAUAGUUAGAAAUCUCAAUUGAGAACCAUUUCGAACACUGAGUCAACUCAGGUCAAGAAUCUCAUAAACAGAUCCAAAGAACCAUCUUUCUCUAAAUUAAACACCAACCCACUUCACAGAAAGCUCUAAUUCAGAGAAAAAAUAUAUAUCAAAAAAAAAAAAAGAAAAAUUAAGCUUAAAGAGAGCUCCGAAUUGGGAAUUUAAGCAGAACAGAGAGAGGAACAACUAUAUAUUUUAUAUGUAUUGUAUAUAUUAUCUUUUGUCUGAUACUUUCUCUCU